UCCUGGCUGCUUAAGCCAACUUCUGAUUAUGGCCAUGGACCAGGAUCAGGAGGCAGGAGAAGCAGAUUCAGACUACUUGCAGCCUUAAUCCCCUCAUCCCUGGGUCUGUGUGUGCUGAGGUCACGAGACACAGCCACAUGUGUGGCAGGUGUGUCUGUGAAGCUUCAAGCAUCUCUGCCCUCCUGCUCUCCUCCCAGCAGUGCAGCCCAGCCAGGAGUGGGCUCUGAGGCUUUAACUGAAAGAUCCUCAUGCAUUGAUCUCAGACAGGUGGGGUUAGGGGAGCCCAGCAGUGUAAGAGCAGCCCCUGCCCAUCAGAAUCCCUCUGGUGACUGAUGCAACAGAAUGAGCUUGAUCAGGAAGAAAAAAAGGACUCCAGGAAGCCCCUUUGGUACCAUCUCUGACCCUGUGAGAUGCAAUACCAAUAGUCAACCAGUAGAUGUCAGAACAGCCCACAAUUUGCAAAGAGAAGCUUGAUCUUGGAAACGCUAGAAGUGGUCUAGAAGAAAGAAUGGAGGUGAAACAAGGUCAUCCAGGUGAGGCUGAUCCCACAGGAACUGCAUCCUUCUUAAUAGAUAUUUAGAGAGCUCUCUGUCCAGGGAGCUCUCUCCAUCCCUCUCAGGCCACAAGGAGAAGCCUGUGAGGACAGACAAGAAGGAAGCCUUAGGAAGAGUGUCUAUGACAGACGGGUCAUCUGCUGCCCCUUGACUUUGGACCUUCAGGCUACAGAACAUUGAGAGGACACAUCUUUACUAUCUGAGCCACUGAGACCAGGGUGAUGUGUUUCUCAAUGACAGUCCCUGAAGAUUACUUCAGAAUCUCAGCAUUCCCUGAGCAGGAGCAGCCUCAGGACCAACCUUAUGGACAUGGACCUGCUGGGCUCCUCUGUCUCCUGCUUCUUUGACUCGUGAGGAAGGAGGAUACUCAUCUUCAGUGUGUUUCUUUGCACAUGAAUUUGUUCACCUCUUUUUUCUCUGAUCACAGUCACAGCUCAUGGAGUGAAUACGUGCUAUUGAUAGUUGAUGGUCUUCAUUUUACUUCUGAAUUAGAGGCUAGGGAAUUCUAAAAUGGACCAUGUCUCUAGCUUCCCUCCUUCUGUCCCAGAAGAGAGGAUCUCUAGCCUCUGCAGGGCCUGCCUGAGGACCAACAGGGUCCCACCCUGGCAGCAACAGAAACCUGGUCUGGUUCCCAGCUCCUGCUGCCUCUCACUGCUCUGGCCAUGGUGCCUGCUCAUCUGGACAGAUGCCACUCUGCCAGUAGCUGUGCUGUUUUCAGGGCAUGUGCAUAUCCUCCAUCCCAGAGGAGUCUGUGACUUCUAACAUAUCAGUAUCACCCAGAUGCUACUCCACCAGUAGGCUGGUGAAGGUCUCAGGCCAUCCCUGGAGGCAGGCUUGGCCAAGUCUGACAGCCCCUUUCUCCACCCCUCUCUCCAUGUGGCUUUGGGCAAAUGACCCAUCCUGUGAAUAUCUUCUCAUAUGUGAAUGAUACAGUAAAGAUUCCACGGUUGCAUUCAGCUGGACCAUACCAUGGACCAUGUAAUUUACACAAAUUGGAGAAAAUUCCCAGGACUGUUUUGUACACCCAUGAAUAUUUUAGAAUGAAGACACUUCAUAAGAUAUUCCUAGUUGGGUUUCAUUCUUAACUGAAAGUCCUGUGUCACCUGAUUCUCUGGAGCCUGCCCCUCCUCUAGGCCAAGCUUCCUCCUGUGUACCACUAAAGCCUACAGUACAAAUGUAAGCCUAUUGCAACUCAGCAGGAUCUCUCAAGGACCCAAGUGCCUUUGCCAUGAGUGGAAUCAUCAAAGGAAGAGGAGCCAUGUCUCCAGGACUCUGUGGGAGGCAGAAUCCUGGCCUUGGCCAUGCGAGCCACAGUCACUACCUCUCCAUGUUUCUUUGCUCUCUGCCUCUCCUGAACAUCCACAUGCCCCUGCCUCCUAAUCAUUCCAAUCAGAGUGACGUUAAGCAUCUCUCCUACUGCUCACAUUCCAAAUAACUAUCUCAUUUCUAGCUGUUGAGUAAUGUUUUAUAGAACAUGCCCUGGGACACACCUAUAAGUCUGACUUAAGUUGACCCUAAGCCUGGAAGAAUCAAAAUCCUCAAACCAACAGAAUAUUAGACCCAGGACUAUAAGCUCAGCCCCCUAAAAUAAAGAGCUGGGGUGCUGACCAUAAAAUUAGAACCCAGAAAACAAUAGAAAAAACUUUCAAAGAUAUAAUUAUAUCCAAUCAAGACCACCCAGGACAUCAUUGACUCACAUCAAUAGCACUUAGAAACCCACUGCACUGGCCAACAGGGGAGGUAGGUGUAAGCGAUUCUCCUGUCUCCAUGUGGGUUGAUCUGCAGUGAAGUCCUUCCCUUUACUACAACCCCAGGCCAUGGGGUGCACGAGCCUGUCCUCCACUCGUGGGGCAGCGAGAUCUGGCUUAGUAUCAUACACUGUGGGCAGAUGUGCAUUUGUUCCACC